AUGAACGCUGGCGGCGUGCCUCAUACAUGCCAGUCGAGCGAACAGACGAGGAGCUUGCUCCUCUGACGUUAGCGGCGGACGGGUGAGUAACACGUGGAUAACCUACCUAUAAGACUGGGAUAACUUCGGGAAACCGGAGCUAAUACCGGAUAAUAUAUUGAACCGCAUGGUUCCAUAGUGAAAGACGGUUUUGCUGUCACUUAUAGAUGGAUCCGCGCCGCAUUAGCUAGUUGGUAAGGUAACGGCUUACCAAGGCGACGAUGCGUAGCCGACCUGAGAGGGUGAUCGGCCACACUGGAACUGAGACACGGUCCAGACUCCUACGAGAGGCAGCAGUAGGGAAUCUUCCGCAAUGGGCGAAAGCCUGACGGAGCAACGCCGCGUGAGUGAUGAAGGUCUUCGGAUCGUAAAACUCUGUUAUUAGGGAAGAACAAAUGUGUAAGUAACUAUGCACGUCUUGACGGUACCUAAUCAGAAAGCCACGGCUAACUACGUG
rnacentral:rRNA from 1 species